rnacentral:rRNA from 1 species
UACAGAGGUCUCAAGCGUUGUUCGGAUUCAUUGGGCGUAAAGGGUGUGUAGGUGGCGCCGUAAGUCGGGUGUGAAAUCUUGGAGCUUAACUCCGAAACUGCAUUCGAUACUGCCGUGCUUGAGGACUGGAGAGGAGACUGGAAUUUACGGUGUAGCGGUGAAAUGCGUAGAUAUCGAUAAGGAAGACCAGUGGCGAAGGCGGGUC